rnacentral:lncRNA from 1 species
GAGCGUCCACCUCCAUGAAGAGGCCCAUCACCUAGUGCAAAAAGAGAAAACUGUCAGAACGAAGAAACAAAGAAAACUAGAACAUGAGCAGAAAUCGGAAAGGACGACCUACCAUCAGGAGCAUCUCCCUGAUCGUGUCCCCAAGCUCCCCUCGAGGUCGAGACCGGAACGCUGCCUGUUCCCUUGUAGAACUGGCUAGAAGACCAGUAAGGGCAAGCAAGCGUGGGUUCGAAGCCUCUGUGACGCC